AUUGAACGCUGGCGGCAGGCCUAACACAUGCAAGUCGAGCGAGCGGCGGACGGGUGAGUAAUGCCUGGGGAACUGCCCGAUGGAGGGGGAUAACUACUGGAAACGGUAGCUAAUACCGCAUACUAUCAGAUGUGCCCAUAUGGGAUUAGCUAGUAGGUGAGGUAACGGCUCACCUAGGCGACGAUCCCUAGCUGGUCUGAGAGGAUGACCAGCCACACUGGAACUGAGACACGGCCCAGACUCCUACGGGAGGCAGCAGUGGGGAAUAUUGCACAAUGGGCGCAAGCCUGAUGCAGCCAUGCCGCGUGUGUGAAGAAGGCCUUCGGGUUGUAAAGCACUUUCAGUCGGGAGGCGUUACCGACAGAAGAAGCACCGGCUAACUCCGUGCCAGCAGCCGCGGUAAUAC
rnacentral:rRNA from 1 species